rnacentral:rRNA from 1 species
UACAGAGGGGGCAAGCGUUGUUCGGAAUUACUGGGCGUAAAGGGCGCGUAGGCGGCCGCCUAAGUCAGACGUGAAAUCCCUCGGCUCAACCGGGGAACUGCGUCUGAUACUGGGUGGCUUGAAUCCGGGAGAGGGAUGCGGAAUUCCAGGUGUAGCGGUGAAAUGCGUAGAUAUCUGGAGGAACACCGGUGGCGAAGGCGGGUCUCUGGGCCGAUACUGACGCUGAGGAGCGAAAGCGUGGGGAGCGAACAGG